CCUAAAGCGUCCGUAGCUGGCCCUGCAAGUCCGUCGGGAAAUCCACUCGCCUAACGAGUGGGCGUCCGGCGGAAACUACAGGGCUUGGGACCGGAAGACUUGAGGGGUACGUGUGGGGUAGGAGUGAAAUCCUGUAAUCCUGGACGGACCGCCGAUAGCGAAAGCACCUCAAGACGACGGAUCCGACAGUGAGGGACGAAAGCUAUGGUCUCGAAC
rnacentral:rRNA from 1 species